rnacentral:rRNA from 1 species
AGAGUUUGAUCAUGGCUCAGAUUGAACGCUGGCGGUAUGCUUUACACAUGCAAGUCGAACGGCAGCGCAAGGGAGCUUGCUCCCUGGCGGCGAGUGGCGGACGGGUGAGUAAUGCGUAGGAAUCUACCUAGAGGUGUGGGAUAACUUGAGGAAACUCAAGCUAAUACUGCAUAAUGCUUACGAGAGAAAGCAUGGGACCUUCGGGCCAUGCGCCUUUAGAGGAGCCUACGUCGGAUUAGCUAGUUGGUGGGGUAAAAGCCUACCAAGGUGACGAUCCGUAGCUGGUUUGAGAGGAUGAUCAGCCACACUGGGACUGAGACACGGCCCAGACUCCUACGGGAGGCAGCAGUGGGGAAUAUUGGACAAUGGGCGAAAGCCUGAUCCAGCAAUACCGCGUGUGUGAAGAAGGCCUGCGGGUUGUAAAGCACUUUCAGUGAGGAGGAAGGCAUAAUUGUUAAUAGCAAUUAUGAUUGACGUUACUCACAGAAGAAGCACCGGCUAACUCUGUGCCAGCAGCCGCGGUAAUACAGAGGGUGCAAGCGUUAAUCGGAAUUACUGGGCGUAAAGGGUGUGCAGGUGGUUAAGUAAGUUAGGUGUGAAAGCCCCGGGCUUAACCUGGGAAUUGCGCUUAAUACUGCAUAACUAGAGUAUUGUAGAGGGUAGUGGAAUUUCCGGUGUAGCGGUGAAAUGCGUAGAUAUCGGAAGGAACACCAGUGGCGAAG